UGGAGGGUGUGUGCAAAGCAAACAAGCCUUCGGGCCUGAAAUGUGAAGGCAAGGCCCAAGCAGAUUGGACAAGUAGCGGAGACUCCAUCUCCUUCACCUUCCUCGGUCAAUUUCAACAGACACAGGGAGAACCACAUCUUCAAGACCUCCCUAGAUGCGCCGGCCUAAACCAACGGCGGCGACCGCAAAAUCAUACCUCACACCGCCACGCGCCUCUUGACCGACAAGGGGAACGAAGCUCCGCCUAAUCGACCGGAGCUACCGCGAUGGUUCUCUCACGAAGCGAAGCGAACAUCGGCAAUGGCGAAAGAAAAAUCGCUACGAAAGGACAAGAGAUCUUACCGGCAAUGGCGAAAGAGGAUCCGUCGGUGAAGCCGUAUUCGGAACUCAGGCUUUUUGGAAGGGGUCGAAUGGUUCUUUAUCGGAAUUCUGUGGAAGAAACGGUCAUGAAUUCUUGGUUGAGAGGAGGAUUGAAGGUGUUGUCCGGUUGAAUAUGAAGGAGUUGUAGAAGUUCCUUUUCUGAAUUUUGCAGGUUGCGUUAGAGAAAAAGAAUUGGUGUGGUGGUUGAAGAUUUGGCUAUGGAGUUUGGAGUUUAGUGAAGGUGUGGAUUGGAAGGUGAAGGGUGAUGUUGAAGAGGAUUAGGUGAUGGAGGAAGAAGAAGACGAAUCUAGAAAACUGAGAAGUGGAGAUUGAAGAUGAAGGUUGAAGAAGGAGCUGGAAAAGUUUGUUAGAGGUUGAAGGAUUGAGGGCGAAAACGAUUUUGGAAUGAGAGGGAAAAUUUUCUGAAACCAAUGAUUGGCAAUGAUUGCAGCUUAUAUAGCAGGAUCUAAGGGGCAAAUUGGAGAAUUAAAUCUGAAAUGAUUCAAUCUGCACCAUCCAGCUGGCAUUAAGUGAAGGACAUGGUUGAUUACCAAGUGCAAUCACAGAGUUUCUCCAAGUGGUCAAAGCUGAAUCUGCAGCAAGGCUUCUCCUGUAGACUCCUUCUUGUUUUCCAAUGUGUUGAUUUGUGGGUCGCUUCCUGGAUUCACUAUGGAAACUUGAAGCUAUUUUCGGGCCAAGGAACAUUGAGUGACGAUGCCACCAGGUUUGUUUAGAAGUUAGUGACACAUAGCCUUGUGAUGAAUGUUGACGGUUAGUGUUAAUGCUGAUAGUAGCUUUUGGAAGAGUGGUUAAUGACAAAAUCUGUUAAGUGAAGUCAUUUAUGUAUUGUGAACACGGUUUGUGCAAGCUGAAAGGAAGAUGCCGUUGUGUAGUUAGGUAUCUUUCGGUUAUAAGCUGGAGGUCAAGAAGAAAAUGCCGGCAAGGCAAUAUUGCCAGCUCUAAGUAAAUGCGUGGAAGAAGAUCUUGCAUAGCACCAAUUUUGCGGAAUCAGUUAUAGCAAGUUUCUUUGGCAUCGGCACAAAUAUCACUUGCUUCAAAGUUCUCUGCCAAGUUGCAGAAUAAAGCUCCGUCUUCAGUAAAUUCUGCUUUGAAGUAGCAUUGCUGCGUUGCUUUUGUGGCAGCUUUUACAUUACCUUGGCGUGGAGCUUGGUUUGUACACUAGUUGCCCAUGCGCUUCAUUUGCCGCUUAUGCUUUGACGCUGGCUUCACUUGGAGUGUGUAGCUUGAUGAAGCUUGCUGUUUGCAUUGUACUGCUGUAUCAUUUCAUUUGCUCUUUUUUUUUUUGUAUUAUUAUAUUUAUUUUUAUGAACAAACUACAUGCAUAUGGUUUUGGAUCAUGUUAAGGACUUAUUUGGAAAAUGGUUUAAUUGAUUUUGGAA